UUGGAGGGCAAGUCUGGUGCCAGCAGCCGCGGUAAUUCCAGCUCCAAUAGCGUAUAUUAAAGUUGUUGCAGUUAAAAAGCUCGUAGUUGAGUUUCGGGAUCAGACUGUCGGUCGUGCCUCGGUACGCACUGGCAUUAUUGGUUCCUACCUUCUGAAGAACCGCGAUGUCAUUAAUUUGGUGUCGCGGGGAAUCAGGACUGUUACUUUGAAAAAAUUAGAGUGUUUAAAGCAGGCGCACGCUUGAAUACAUUAGCAUGGAAUAA
rnacentral:rRNA from 1 species